rnacentral:rRNA from 1 species
GGGUGCGAUCAUACCAGCACUAAAGCACCGGAUCCCAUCAGAACUCCGAAGUUAAGCGUGCUUGGGCGAGAGUAGUACUAGGAUGGGUGACCUCCUCGUGUUGCAAUAC